GUUACAUACUUGCAUGUUGUGGUGGGAUAAGGCACGCCAUCUUCAAGCUUCGGCUUCAAAAAUCACACCCAAAAUCGUCGUAGCAAAGUUGGUUCCAACCCUCCUCAAAUGCAGCUCUAACGACAUGCAGGUAUUGACCUAUAUCUGUGUUUAAUUCUUUGUUCUCAUCUAGUGUUAUAUAGCUUUGUUAUUUAGAUAUUUUGUUCAGAGGGCUUCGGCUAUCCUCUGUUUUUGUCUUUGAUUCAAAGCAUGCAACUUUGCAAUUCAGCUUUAAGUUUCUAUAAGCUCUUUCGCCUUCUAUUUGACAAAAUGCUAGCAUUUUCUGUAUUUGGAUGCCAUUUUAAGCUUCCACAUGAUUUUGAUUCAAGUGGGUUGGUUUGAUGAUCAUUGUUUGUUUCACUUCAACUCAAUUGCAACUUUUAAUAUGGAUUUUGUGAAACUGAUCCGCAAGUCAAGUGAGAUUGCUCACUUGCUAUUAUCCCAUGUGUAGUUUCUAGGUAUUCGUUUGCUAUAUCUGUUUUGUCCCGUGCUUUUGAACCGUUUCAUGAGUGUGGACGAAAUUCUCACUUGAUUCUUUUAACUAGCAAUUUGGUAUCUUACAAAAUGGAGCAGAUUAAGCACCUCUUGCUUUAUUUCUCGUCUCAAGCCAGCCUGAUACUUGCACUUUUCUUUUCUAAACUCUUGGAUUUAGUGUUUUUUUUAUUUUAUUUUAAUAUGUUCAGGGUGUAUUAAUUGGAAAAUGUGUUGGAUGGUUCUUUGCUAAUGUCAUCAUUACUUUGGAAGGAGUAAAUAAUUCUAAUUUUUUUCAUUUUGCCAUGUCCCCGUUCCCCUCCUGUUCUUUCUUUCUCCUCUUCAAAUUUCAGCACUGAAAUUCAAGUGAAGAUUUCUAGGUCAAUUUCCUUCUCCUUGUUCUCCUUAUAUCCUUGGUUUUAUAAUGUCUAUGUAACAGCAGCACAAUUCUAGCAGACAGUCUUUUCUUUUUACUGUAUUUUUCCACAUUAUACGUCUUGACACAUCAUAAUGGAUAUUAUGUUUCUAGUUUUUCUUCAACUGAUCUCUCCCCACCCUUCUUUUUGACCUCAAAGACUCAAAGUCCAUUCACGGUUUGAUUUUAUAGCUGCGUAAAUGAACAGAACAGUUGCAGCUGAAUGAAGAAUGUCUCGGUCAUCAGCGCCAAAAGCAAAAGCCACCUGGACACCUUCAAUCCGCAAAAUUUUUGUUGAUUCAUGUCUAGAACAAACCUUAAAGGGGAAUAGACCAGGUACUCAUUUUACAAAGGAAGGCUGGAAGAACAUUGGAGAAUCAUUGUACAAGAAGGCUGGCUUGAGAUAUGACAAGAAACAAAUAAAGAAUCAUUGGGAUGCCACUAAGGAACAAUGGAAAAUCUGGUGCGAGCUCAUCAGCACUAGUGACAUGAAAUGGGAUCCAGAAACCAAUACAUUUGGUGCAAGUGAGGAAGAUUGGACUGAAUAUAUCCAUGCACAUCCUGAAGCUGCCCAAUUUCGUUUUAAAGAACUUCAACACCUUGACAAACUGGAAAUCAUCUAUGAUUUUACAAGCAGUGUACACAUGGAAACCUCUCAUCAGCGUGAGAGGCAGAAUGAUAGCUCAACCACCUCUCUUUUGCAUACAAAAGACCCAGGCACAGCAGAUCUGUAUGACAAGAACAAGAGACUAGAAAGUACUGCUACAGUUCAGUCUAAAUAUGGCAGAAAAAUUACAGGUCAGCACAGCUUGUGCAGCACAUCACUAAAAAGGCUAAAAGCCAUUUGGACACCUCAGUUACACAAUAUUUGUUGAUCUAUGUGUAGAAGAGGUGUCAAAGGGAAACCGACCUAGGACUCAUUUUACAAAAGAGGGAUGGGGGAAUAUUGUUCAUUCAUUCCAUGUCAAAACUGGACUUAGGUUUGAUAGGAUGCAACUUAAGAACCAUUGGGAUGUCACAAAGGAACAAUGGAAAGUGUGGUGUAAGCUAGUGGGUACUGUUAGUAUGAAGUGGGAUCCAAAUACUAAUGAUUUUGAUGUGAGUGAAGAAGACUGGAUGAAAUAUGUUGAGGUAUGUUAAAUGUUUUAGCAAAAGUUAGUGCUCUUUAAACUGAAAAGUGGUAAAGAAGGUUCUUCUGAAAUGCAGUGGUUUUUGUUACAGGCUAACCCAGAAGCUGCUCAAUUUCGUUUCGAGGAAUUCCAGUUAGCUGACAAAUUGGGAAUCAUGUUCGAUGGGAUAACAAAUACUGGAGAGACAGAACCUCCUGUCCAGCUUAAAAUGCUUAAUGAUGGCUCAACUGAUUCACUUUUGCAUAAGGAAGAACCAAUCAUAGCAAAGCCUAUGCAAAUGAUAAAACCUCUUUCUGAUGUCAUUGAAUCAAGCAGUGCUUUGACUGUUCAAUCUACACGAGGCAAACUGCAAUAUAGCAUUGGAGAAUGUAUUGAAUGUCUUGAUGGGAUGGAGGAAAUCGAACAAGGAAGCGACUUGUACUUGUUUGCAUUAGAUAUAUUCCUAAAGAAGGAAUACAGAGAAAUUUUCCUUCAGCUACAGGCGCCCCGUGUAAGGAUUGCAUGGUUGCAGCGGCUGCAAAACGCUACUCUUCCUUUGCAUAUAGUGUGAGGGAUCCCGUUCUACCUUGUCUUAGGAUUGAAUUUUUUUCUUGUGUCAGGAAUGGUGCUUGAACUUGUGUUCGUCAAUUGUCCUGAUUUUAUUAUUUUUUUGAGAAAACUUUGUUCAUUUCGCUACUUGGAUCGCACUUCAUAUUUUCAAUGUUCACACUGCUGCAUCUUGGGGCAAAGGGAAGCGUUCUUCUCGCCUGAAAUAGAGGCAUCAGGCAUGCAAGUCUGUGGAAUGUCACACAUUACUCCUCUGUAAGGCAUAACAUAAUCCCGUAGUAAACACUACCGAUAACCCAUUAGAUACACUACAAGGGAUUUUAAAACUUUUCUUACUUCUUUUUACAGUGGUGAGAACUAUUUACAGGUGUUAAAAUUUUUUUUGAACUGAAGUGAAAC
rnacentral:misc_RNA from 1 species